rnacentral:rRNA from 1 species
UACGGAGGGAGCUAGCGUUGUUCGGAAUUACUGGGCGUAAAGCGCACGUAGGCGGCUUUGUAAGUUAGAGGUGAAAGCCCGGAGCUCAACUCCGGAAUUGCCUUUAAGACUGCAUCGCUUGAACGUCGGAGAGGUGAGUGGAAUUCCGAGUGUAGAGGUGAAAUUCGUAGAUAUUCGGAAGAACACCAGUGGCGAAGGCGGCUCACUGGACGACUGUUGACGCUGAGGUACGAAAGCGUGGGGAGCAAACAGG